rnacentral:lncRNA from 1 species
AACAAAACUAAGAAUAUGUAUUGAUUAUCUACAGCUAAGUGUUAAGUAUCAUAUAUAUUUGAAGUUUUCAGAGUUAUAUGAUGGUGCUCGUGGAAAAGCACACACACAGAAUAAAUCAAUAGGUAGUUGCAUGCACAUGACAGGUAUUGCUAGUCUGUUCAGUCGCAACCAUUUGAUUAGGAAUAAUAAUAAAAAGACAAAUAGUCAGAUAACCCAAACAGAAUUGAUCGCAUCAUCACAUAUCAUAUGAUUCUAACAUCACAUUAUAUAAUGAAUGUCACAUCUGGAACAAUAACAAACCAGUAAUACCAGUAAACUAUUAGUGUGGACAUGAACUGAGUAGAGAUAUUAAUUAAGUCCAGAUUGUGUUUGAAAAAUUUUCGACGAGAUGAUUUAAACUUAACCACAC